CCGUAAGGCGCCCGAAAGGGGACAGGUGAGGAAAGUCCGGGCUUCACAGGGCAGGAUGCCGGAUAACGUCCGGUGGAGGCGACUCCAAGGAUAGUGCAACAGAAAUGAACCGCCAGGUUUUUGCCUGGUAAGGGUGGAAGGGCAGUGUAAGAGACUACCGCCCGGCCGGUGACGGCCGGGGCAUAUGUAAACCCCAUCCGAAGCAAGACCGAACAGAGAGCGACAGGCCGGCCCGGCCUGCUUUCAGGUAGGUCGCUCGAUCCUGCCGGCAACGGCAGGGCUAGAUAGAUGACCAUUCAAGACAUAACCCGGCUUAUCGUUUUGCUU
rnacentral:RNase_P_RNA from 1 species